AGCGCGGGUAAACGGCGGG
rnacentral:ncRNA from 3 species